GGCGAACGCUGGCGGCGUGCUUAACACAUGCAAGUCGAAUGGAAAGGCCCUGCUUUUGUGGGGUGCUCGAGUGGCGAACGGGUGAGUAACACGUGAGUAACCUGCCCUUGACUUUGGGAUAACUUCAGGAAACUGGGGCUAAUACCGGAUAGGAGCUCCUGCUGCAUGGUGGGGGUUGGAAAGUUUCGGCGGUUGGGGAUGGACUCGCGGCUUAUCAGCUUGUUGGUGGGGUAGUGGCUUACCAAGGCUUUGACGGGUAGCCGGCCUGAGAGGGUGACCGGCCACAUUGGGACUGAGAUACGGCCCAGACUCCUACGGGAGGCAGCAGUGGGGAAUAUUGCACAAUGGGCGGAAGCCUGAUGCAGCAACGCCGCGUGCGGGAUGACGGCCUUCGGGUUGUAAACCGCUUUCGCCUGUGACGAAGCGUGAGUGACGGUAAUGGGUAAAGAAGCACCGGCUAACUACGUGCCAGCAGCCGCGGUGAUACGUAGGGUGCGAGCGUUGUCCGGAUUUAUUGGGCGUAAAGGGCUCGUAGGUGGUUGAUCGCGUCGGAAGUGUAAUCUUGGGGCUUAACCCUGAGCGUGCUUUCGAUACGGGUUGACUUGAGGAAGGUAGGGGAGAAUGGAAUUCCUGGUGGAGCGGUGGAAUGCGCAGAUAUCAGGAGGAACACCAGUGGCGAAGGCGGUUCUCUGGGCCUUUCCUGACGCUGAGGAGCGAAAGCGUGGGGAGCGAACAGGCUUAGAUACCCUGGUAGUCCACGCUGUAAACGGUGGGUACUAGGUGUGGGGUCCAUUCCACGGGGUCCGUGCCGUAGCUAACGCUUUAAGUACCCCGCCUGGGGAGUACGGCCGCAAGGCUAAAACUCAAAGGAAUUGACGGGGCCCCGCACAAGCGGCGGAGCAUGCGGAUUAAUUCGAUGCAACGCGUAGAACCUUACCUGGGUUUGACAUGGAUCGGGAGUGCUCAGAGAUGGGUGUGCCUCUUUUGGGGUCGGUUCACAGGUGGUGCAUGGCUGUCGUCAGCUCGUGUCGUGAGAUGUUGGGUUAAGUCCCGCAACGAGCGCAACCCUUGUUCACUGUUGCCAGCACGUUAUGGUGGGGACUCAGUGGAGACCGCCGGGGUCAACUCGGAGGAAGGUGGGGAUGACGUCAAGUCAUCAUGCCCCUUAUGUCCAGGGCCUCACGCAUGCUACAAUGGCUGGUACAGAGAGUGGCGAGCCUGUGAGGGUGAGCGAAUCUCGGAAAGCCGGUCUCAGUUCGGAUUGGGGUCUGCAACUCGACCUCAUGAAGUCGGAGUCGCUAGUAAUCGCAGAUCAGCAACGCUGCGGUGAAUACGUUCCCGGGGCUUGUACACACCGCCCGUCAAGUCAUGAAAGUUGGUAACACCCGAAGCCGGUGGCCUAACCGUUGUGGGGGAGCCGUCGAAGGUGGGACUG
rnacentral:rRNA from 1 species